rnacentral:rRNA from 1 species
UAAAAACCCCGACUUCGGAAGGGGUGUAUUUAUUAGAUACAAAACCAAUGCCCUUCGGGGCUCUUUGGUGAUUCAUGAUAACUAUACGAAUCGCACGGCCUUGCGCCGGCGAUGGUUCAUUCAAAUUUCUUCCCUAUCAACUUUCGAUGUUUGGGUAUUGGCCAAACAUGGUUGCAACGGGUAACGGAGGGUUAGGGCUCGACCCCGGAGAAGGAGCCUGAGAAACGGCUACUACAUCCAAGGAAGGCAGCAGGCGCGCAAAUUACCCAAUCCCGACUCGGGGAGGUAGUGACAAUAAAUACUGAUACAGGGCCCUUUCGGGCCUUGUAAUUGGAAUGAGUACAAUUUAAAUCCCUUAACGAGGAACAAUUGGAGGGCAAGUCUGGUGCCAGCAGCCGCGGUAAUUCCGGCUCCAAUAGCGUAUAUUAAAGUUGUUGUGGUUAAAAAGCUCGUAGUUGAACCUUGGGCCUGGCUGGCCGGUCCGCCUCACCGCGUGCACUGGUCCGGCCGGGCCUUUCCCUCUGUGGAACCCCAUACCCUUCACUGGGCGUGGCGGGGAAACAGGACAUUUACUUU